GGUCCGCUGGCUCAAUGGCAGAGCGUCUGACUACGGAUCAGGAGGUUCCAGGUUCGACCCCUGGGUGGAUCG
rfam:Chaetomium thermophilum var. thermophilum DSM 1495 unplaced genomic scaffold scf7180000011812, whole genome shotgun sequence.